CCCGCCUCUGCUCGCAUGGCUGUCAGCGUCGCGAGUCACGAGCCGCCAUUUUGUUUCAAAUGAAAUAGCUACUCUCAUGCAGUUUUCAAAAUGUGAUAUUAUAUUAUUCCCAAAUAACACAAGACCUACGUGGACGACAUCACGUAACAUUAUAAGCUAAUCUGUCGUGUGUCGCCGACAUCGAGCUGAUGACAUUUUUAAAAAUUAUGAAAAAGCAAACACC